rnacentral:lncRNA from 1 species
GACGCAAAUGUUAAUAAUGAAACAGAUGAUGUCCGGCAAUGGUAAAAUUAUUAAACUGAAAUCAACCUUGAGAUUAACCUUUGGAAAAAUACCAAAACCGCAUCUACGAUUUGUUUUUACAAUAUAUUACAGGAAAAUAUAUAUAUUGUGAAUUACACUUUCAAACAAAUACAGUUUAAGCGUCGUUGCCAUACUGUUCUAGUGAU